AUCCAGCUGAUGAGUCACAAAUAGGACGAAACACGCAUCCUGGAU
rnacentral:hammerhead_ribozyme from 1 species